rnacentral:lncRNA from 1 species
AAAUAAAAAUUAUGGAAAAGAUGUUUUUCCAUAUAAACUUUGGCCAAUUUGCAUAAAAAAUUUACUAAUUUUGAGCUUUUAUAAAAGUAGGCCAACUUUUUUGUUUUUGCGUUUGUGAUCAAAAGUUCUCAAAAUUAACAAUUUUAAUGGUAGAUGUGAUGCGUUUGUGAAUUUAACGGUGUAAAACAAUUCAAAUCUGAUGAAAUUUUUAUAGAAAAUUUUUUUCACUAUUUAGAGUAAGAUCAGUACAUCUGAUAUUAAAUUCAAGUCUUUUAUUAUCAUUUUUUAUAAGAUUUUUAUUUUUAGCCGUUUAUUUUUAGAAUACUCACUUGAUAGGCAAAUGAUGCCGAAAAAUUAUGAAAUUUAGUUUUCAAAUACUUUUAAUAGUGUAGAUCAAGUCUAACGGAGCCGAUCGUCGAUUUGGAAGCUGCAUCAUUAAAAACAACUUGGUAGCACGGAGGCUUUCUUGCUACCGAUAGUAUACCAAUCUAACUAUCUAUCUAUAUAUAUAUAUAUAUAUAUAUAUAUAUAUAUAUAUAUAUAUAUAUAUAUAUAUAUAUAUUAAUUUCAUAAAGGUCCCUGCAAAUAUAGUGAAUUGCAGAUAUAUAUUCCUAUAAAGUUUAACUUUCAUAUGUUGUCCCAGUGAAAGUCCCGAUGUUUUCAAAUAUAUAUUCUUGCCGUUAGGAUCCAUUAGAAAACAUUAGUUAACCAUGGUAAAAUUCUUAACACUAGUUAGUUAAUGAGGUGAAUAAAACUGUUUACCCUUCUUCAAUUAACAUUAGGACUUUUGGAUGGACAUAUUUAUGAUGACAAAAAGAUUAUUUCGCUUAUAAAAUAAACAGUGCUUUAACGGUAACAAACCAGAAGGACAUAUGUGAAAAUAUUAGGACUUUUGUAGGGACAACAUUUAAAGUUGAGCUUUGUAGGGAUAUAUUUAUAAUUCACUAUAUUUGCAGGGACCUGUAUGAAAUUAACCCUAUAUAUAUACACAUAGAGAGAGAGAGUUGAAAUAGAAUGUUAUUAGUAGCAAACGGACUCCGUUGUUAUCCAUUUGUUUUCGAUGAUGGAGCCUCCAAAUCGACGAUUGGCACCAUUGAACAUGAUCUAAUACCACUGUAAGUAUCUAGAAACCAAAUUUGAUGCUUUGCCUAUGGCGGCGGUGAGGCCUACGACGGCAACGGCGUUGAAGGUGAGGUCCUCAGCCACGACAAAGACAAGGGAUACCGCACGAUCAACGACGAAGGUGAGGGGAGAGAAGAAGAAGAUAGCUUUUCAUAGGAAUAAACUUAUAAGGUGAUCAUUUCACAUAUCCACAUUUAAAAACUAUCCGUGGUAAAAAACAACAAGGAUAAAUAUAAACGUACCAGAACUUUUAAAAGGAUGUAUUUACAAAUCAUAAAAUUUUCAAAGAAAUAAAUCCGAUUGGUUAAACUUUGAAAGAAUUUAUCUGCUAUUCAACAUAUUUGUAAAGAAUCGUAUGAAAUUACGCUAAAAAACAACAAGAAGCUCUAAGCAGGCCAUUGCAAUGAUUUGAUCAAUUUCAUAAAUAAAGAAGCACUUUAAUCAUUUCUCAUAAUCCACAAAUUUAGUACAACAGAACUUUCAACAGAGGAUCAUAAACGCCCUUUCUGCCAAUCUAUUAUACUUUUUAGCGUCGUAAAGAAAGUUGUAGAACAAUAUCAAUCAAGCAAAGAGCGCUUGGCGAUCGCAAGGCAAUUCGAAGGUCUUAAGCAGCAGAUUCGGUGUUCUUCGCAGGAGUAUUCGCGCGCCUCCACGUAUUAGAGAGGUACGGGCCAUUCGUUCGCAGACCCACAACGUCUUCCUCGCGCACCGCAUCGCAUAUUUCCUUCACAUCUUCCUCGGUGAGUUUUACUUUCAAUGAGCCAAUGUUGCUAUCCAAGUUCCUAAUCUUGGUUGUCCCUAAAACAUUAGGGAGCAAAUGCGCAUCAUAAGCGAACGAAAAGAUCGGUCUAAAAAGAAACAGCUCAGAAAUAGUCUUAGAUAUUGUAAAGCUUAAUUACCUGGGAUUGGAACAACAUCAUCCCCUUGAUGAAGAACCCAAGCUAGAGCUAGUUGAGCAGGGGUGCAUUGAUGCUUCAUAGCUAGGUUUUCCAAUCUCAUGUACAAAGGCUUGUUCUUCUCCAAGUUCCCUCCGGAAAACCUCGGAUGUGAUUGCUGUACAAUUCACAUUCAAAAGUCUAAUCAAUAGUAAUAUAAUAUUAUUGUAAGAGUAAACUUUAGGAUUAAUAAUUUUAUUUUUGAGUUUUUUCUCGACUUUCAAGUAGUUCAAAAGAUUAUAAUUACCAGAAAUGAAUUUUGUGGUAAUUCUUCUGUGAGUCCUUUCCCAGCAAAAAAGCCUCGGCCAAGAGGGCUAUAAGAAACAAUUCCAAUUCCCAGCUCCCUACAUUUACAUUUGCAAGUAAAAUUUUGUUCAGCUAGCAGAUACGCUCCACUUUUGAUAGGAACUAAGCAAGUUAUCCAAAUUAUAAAGUAUACCAAGAGCCCGAUGAGAUUGAAACGACAGUUUCUUAUGCUGAUACCAUAUGAAAGAAUAUGAAAUAAGAGUCAGGCCGGUAUACUAUCGAUAGCACGGAGGCCUCGGUAGCACGGAGGCCUCCGUGCUACCAAGUUGUUUUUAAUGACACGACUUCCAAAUCAACGAUCGGCUUCGUUAGACUUGAUCUACACUAUUGAAAGUAUUUGGAAACUAAAUUUCAUAAUUUUUCGGUAUCAUUUACCUGUCAAACGAGUAGUCUAAAAAUAAACGUGCUAAAAAUAAAAAUCUCACAAACAAUGAUGAUAGGAGACUUGAAUUUAAGAUCAGAGGUACCGAUCUUACUUUAAAUAGCGAAAAGGAUUUUCUAUAAAACUUUCAUUAGACUUGGAUUGUUUUACAUCGUUAAAUUCACAAACGCAUCAUAUCUACCAUUAAAAUUGCCAAUUUUGAGACUUUUUGAUUACUAGCUAAAUGAUGCCGAAAAAUUAUGAAAUUUAGUUUCCAAAUACUUUCAAUAGUGUAGAUCAAGUCUAACGGAGCCGAUCGUCAAUUUGGAAGUCGCAUCAUUGAAAAUAACUUGGUAGCACGGAGACUUCCGUGCUACCGAUAGUAUGCCAGCCUAGCUAGCUCUAUGAAAUAACUAUUAUUUUCCAACAGCUUAAACUAUCAGAGAACUGUGAUUUUAAAAUUUAGUAGCUGCUAGGUGUUAUCAUUUGAGAGCCAAAACUGAUGCCCCUUUCAAAAUAAGAUCUGUGAAUACCAGCUCCUAGAAUUUCGAAAAAAAAUUCCCCCCAAGAAAAAGUCUAUGUUUUGAUGUCUUUGAAUUCAUGAUUUAUUUUGGCAUGUAUAUGCUGAUUUGCAUGAAUUUCAUCUAAAUAUAAACAAAUCUAAUGAUUCAAAGUUUGAUUUGGCAUGAUCUUAGUUUCACAAAAAUUAGAAAUUUUUGUAUGAUAUUAGAGCAAUUGCUAGCCUUUUUAUUUUCCUAAGCAACAAACAAAGUCAAUCUAAUCACCCUUUGUAUAUUCCAAACAACAUUGCCAUCAAAUUCAAUUUGCUUGAGUUCAUUGAAAUGCAAAUUAAUUCACUUUCCUCUCAAUUUGAAAUCAAAUGCAAACCUCAAAUUUGCAAAAACCAACCGAUAAACCAGUUGAUAAGUAUUCGCCAUAUCGCGGGCAUCAGGGAAAGCUCCUAUAAGAGAUUUUACUUUUUUGACCCUUAUAAUUUUUUACUCUCCAUUAUAGCAGAAGCUGCGCAACUAUAUUUUUUAAAAUUAUUGAAUUAUCUUCUAUCCGAUAAUUAAAUCUAAAAAUAGAAAUAGAAGCAGAAACAAAUUAGCUCGGAAUAUACCAUUACAAUAAAAACGGUAUAUAGCGACACUUUUAAAUGUCGGUACAAGUCAAAAAAAAAAUGAUGUUGGCUAAAUUACUAAUACUUUUUAAAAAUGUUGCUAUAUGUGGAUCGCUAUAUGUAGGACCUGCAAAGUGGCACGAUGUCGGACUCUAUCUCGCGAGUCCAAAGUGACCACUCCAUUUGAAGCGCGGAGAUUGGGUGCACCGCAUGGGCUCGCCGGAUUGUGUCCGGGCUCGCCUCCGAGAGCCCGAUGUACUUCACUUUUCCCUCCUCCACCAACUUCUUUAGCUCCCCCAUCUGUUGUAAUAUUUUUUCAUCGAAGAACAGCCCGCAUAGCUUAAAAUCAAUCGAGGAGGGUAAAGUGCAAAAUCAGAUAUACAGAAAGGUAGUUAACUACUCACGGUUUCCUCAAUGGGCACGGUUUGGUCGAUUCGGUGCUGGUAAUAGAGGUCGAUGUAUUCCACACCGAGCCUCUCAAGGCUCGCCUCGCAGCAGGCUCGGACGUACUCCGGCCUACCGUUGAUUUGCUGGGUUUGCUUCGUUAGGUCGAACCCUACGACUCCGAACUUCGUCGCCAGUUGCACCUUCUCCCUAGGCAGUUGUUUCAACGCCUACACAAAUUUAUGAAUAUUUCACCACAACACGAUAUAUCUUGUUCUUUCGGAAAAAAAACCCAAAUAUUCAACGUAAUAUUCUAUUAUAAGCAUCUAAUCGCUUGUACUCUUUCAAAAAAUAUUGGUGAAGUACAUUAAUUAUUGGCCCUUUUAGUCUCUAAACUUUUCGCAAAGUACAUGAACAUAAGGUACUACGAAAGUAACUGCGGUAGUGUUACAUAUUAAUCGUUACUGAAAGUUCGAAACGCGAACCUUGCCGACUAAGAUUUCGUUGGUGCGCGGCCCGUAGACGUCGGAGGUGUCGAAGAAGGUGAUGCCGCUCUCGAAGGCCCGCUUGAUGACGGCUAAGCCGGCCUCGUCGUCGACCGGAGAGUUGUAAAAUCCAGAGAGGCCCAUGCACCCAAACCCUAGCUUAGACACCUACUCAUACAUGAUGAACCAAAUAGAAAAGAUAAUUAGUAGGAUUGAUAUACCUAAGUUAAAAAUGUUGAUCAAUUAAUGCAAAUAUUUAAGUAAUUACUAUACCUCUAAUCCCUGGGAGCCUAACUUCACUCUAGGAAUUGCAUACACCUCCACCUUCUCCAUUAUUAGUGCUCUCUACAAUUUUAGCUAGAUAUAUAUUUUAUAUAUAUGUGGGAUUAAUUAUAAGUAGAGGUGUGGUUUUGGGGAGGAGCACUAUAUUUAUAUACAUAUAUAGGAGUGUGCAUGUAAUAAACAAGGAAAUAAAUGCAUGGUGGUGAGCUCAUUGCUUUGCUCAUGAUGCACAUAAAAAAACAAAAGCACAUGCUUGAAAAGGUUUGACUUGGGUAAGGAAAUAAAUGGUGGUGUGCUGAUGGCUUUGCUCAUGAUGCACAUAGAAAAACAAAAGCAAUACAUGCUUGAAAAGGUUAUCGGUAGCACAGAGUACUUCGUUUUAUCAAGUUAUUUUCAAUAAUAUAAUUUCUGAAUUGACGAUUGGCUCAGUUAGACUUGAUCUACCUUUUGAAAGUAUUUAGAAACUAAAUUUCGUAAUUUUUCAACAUCAUUUACUUAUCAAACGGAUCGUCUAAAAAUGAAUGGCUAAAAAUAAAAAUCUCAUAAAAAAUAAUGAUAAACGACUUAAAUUUAAGAUCAGAGUUAUUGAUCUCACUCUAAAUAGUAAAAAAGAUUUUCUAUAAAAUUUUUAUCAGAUUUGGAUUGUUUUAUAUCGUUAAAUUCACAAACGCAUUACAUCGACCAUUAAAAUUGUCAAUUCUGAGACCUUUUGAUCACUAGCCAAAUAAUGUCGAAAAAUUAUGAAAUUUAGUUUUCAAAUACUUUUAAUAGUGUAGAUCAAGUCUAACGGAGCUGAUCGUCGAUUUGAAAGUCGCAUUAUUGAAAUUAAUCUGGUAGCACGAAGCUCUUAUAUGUAUAUAUAGAAUUGAGCUCCUAUGCUUUUAAAAGUACCAAGUCAUUGGUACUUGUAAGUUUUUGGCCUUUGAAUUAAGUAAUAUGCGGUUAGGAUGAUGUGGGCCUCCUAGGGCACCCGAAACAGUUAAAUCGGACAGAACUUUUGGAGCUAAAACCGAGCCUGGCCUGUUCAUCUAAAGUGGGCUCGGGCCCAAAUCAAGUUUAAAAGGUUUAGCCCAAAUUCGCCUGCUAAAAAAAACAGUUUGGCGGUGUUUGGUUUUCAUGAAAUUUUUUUAAAAAAUUGUUUUGGAUUUGGAUUUUAGGGUUCGGGUUCCAGUUUGGGUUUCGGAUUUUUGGUCGGAUUCGGAUUUUGAAUAUAGAUUUUUAAAAUCCGUCGGAUUCGGAUUCGGAUUUUUGAAAAUUCGUCUCGAAUCCGACCGGUUGACAUCCCUACAACUAAGAGAGAUAUAUAAAAUUUAGCACUUUUAUUUGACUCUUUUAAAUGACUUUACAUAAUAUAUAAUAUAAUAUAAUAAUUAUGAACUUAAAAUCGCAUCCGCUAAAGCGCGGAUACAUUGUUAGUUACUAUUUAUGUGUUAUGAUAACAGGUGCUUAGUGGUUCCAUCAUUUUAUGCCACAUACCCAAUAAUAAAAAAGUACCAAAAAAACAAAAAGAAAAAAUCUUAUCUUUAAGCAAGCAAAGUCGGUGACAUGGGAAAACGUGUCACACUUUUAUAACCUAUUUGCUUGAAUCGAUAAGGCACAUAAACACGUAAUUUAAAUGUAAAUUAAAUUAAUUAUUUUUAUUUAAUUUGUCCAAUAAUUUUUAAUUAAUUUUAGUUUUAUUUUAAAUAAAUAAUACUACCUAAAUACCCUAAAAAAUUAUAUAAAUCUUAUACACUUGGCUAUCCAAAUAUUAAUAUUUUCAUGCUGGUUUUAUUAAUUUUUUAUUAUUAAUUCAAAAUAGAUCUGUAAAUUUUUCAGUGCAGGAGUGUAAACUUUAUACUCUAUAAUUAAUUUUUUAUUAUUAAUUGACAAAAAUUAUUAUUUAUUUUUAGUUACUAAUUUUUUAUUUUUCUGAAUUUAUAAUUCGCAGUUUAUGAAAAUUUAGUGCAACAAUAUUAGAAAUAAAAAUAAAAUAAAAUACAUUAAAAAAGAUAUUUAACAAAAGAAGAAAUAGUUAUUUUAUUGAAAAAUAUAAAUAAUCUAUUUACCAAGUAAAGUUUUGUAAGAAUAAAUUAAUAAUUCUAUUGCAGGGAUUAAAAAUACAACUAAUCCUAAAAUAAAGGCCCUUGUAAAAUAGUAGUUUUUAUAGAUUUUUAAUAAUAAAUAGUAUAAAAUAUAUUUAAAAAAUUUAUGUAAGAACAGAAUAGUUUAUUUUUUAAAAUAUAAAAUUUAAUAAUUAAAAUUUUUAGUCAUAAAUUUAUAAUUUUAUUGCUUUGCAUGAAUAUAUAUUAUAUAUAUAUAUAUAUAUAUCACAUCUCUGUGAAAAUAAAUUAAUUUAUGAGAAAAUUUAAAUUAAAUUAUAAAGAUGUAAAUAUCUCAAAAGUAAAGAUGAAUAUAAACAAAAGUAAAAUGAAUUUAAAAAAUAAAAUAAAAAUCUACUUAAUACAUUAGUACAUGUCCUGCGACGUUUACGUACCGUCGAAACUUUUGCUUUGAUUUCCUCUUUUACCCUUCUCUCCUCCCCCAUACUUUCCUUCACCCGAAAUGUCCUUCCCCAGUAAUAUUAUCCAACUCCUAAGGGCAUUUUAGGAACAUAAACUACUAUAAAUGGCCUUUCGCUUGGAAUUAGAUCACGAUCGUUAUUUCGUUGAGAGAGAGAAAGAGAGAAAGAGAGAGAGAGAUAGAGAUCUGAGUCGAGGGAUCGGACGGUAGAGGAUGUUGGCGGUGUUCGAUCGGACGGUGGCGAAGAGCCCCGAGGGACUGUGGGGGCCGGAGGCGGCGGAGAAGGGCGGCGCCGUCGCCGGAGGCGGCGGAGCGGCGGCGGCGGCGGCGGCGGCGGUGCAGCACUUCACGGCAACGCGGGAGGGGGCGGUGACGGUGAACUUGGGAUCCUCGGGGGUCAUCGCGUACUCCUCGGAUAUGCAAAGCCCUCUCCUCCCGAGGUAAUUUCUAGGGUUUUUUUUUUUUCGUUAAUCUAGGAAAAAGAAGGUAAUCAGAUGCGUUUUCUUCUUCUUCUUUUUUUUUUGAUGUUGUAAGUGGGAUUUUUCGCCAUUUUUAGGUAUGUUUUUGGUGGAAAUUUUGGGUAUUUUGGAGAUGAUCAAGGAAUGCUUCUCUUUUUUUUUUUUUCUUUUAAGAUGUAAUUGAGAUGAUAAGAGAAUUUUUUUUUUCUAUUUAUAAGUGUGUAGUAUUUAUUAAAAAAAAAAAACUUUGUCUAUCCGUGACCCAGUGCCCAAACUGGUUCGACCGAUCAGAUCGUGACCCAAACUGGUUCGUCUCAAUUCAUAAGAUCGGAUCAGCAUAAACCCGCUUUGACCUGUUCAGACCGGUAGUUCAACCAAUGAGCCGGCGAAUCGAACCGGUUUUAUAAGAGAUUUCUCUUUAUUUUAAAUUUUCAUUUUCAUAAUUUGAGAAAUAGCCAUUAGUUUUUAUAUAUAUAUAUUUUAAGGGUUAAUUUCAUACAGGGUUACUACAAAUACAGUGAAUUACAAAUAUAAUCCUACAAAAUUCAACUUUUAUGUGUUUUCAACUAUGUCCCCUGCUGUUAGGAUUUUUUAGAAAAAAUUAGUUAACCAUGGGUAAAAUAUUUAACCUUAGUUAGUUAAUGAGAUGAGUUGACCUUUUUAUCUCUCUUUAAUUAAUAGUUGGGACUUUUGGAGGGACACAUUUGUUAUGCCAAAAAUGUCAUUUCACUUAUAAAAUAAAUAGUGUUUUAACGAUAACAAACUAGAGCGAUAUAUUUGAAAAAUAUUAGGACUUUUAUAGGGACAAUAUAUGAAAGUUGAAAUUUAUAGAGAUAUAUUUAUAAUUUACUAUAUUUGCAGAGACCUGUAUAAAAUUAUUUUUUUAAUUAUAUAACAACGUAUAGUAUACUACAUCUAGGAUAUAUAUUUUUUAGUAUCACAUUGGUUGAAUCAGUGAUCCAUGACCCGGAAAAAGGUACAUUGUAAUUAAACCUGGAAAUAGAAAUAGCCAGAGUAAGGACUUGUAUGGGAUCCAUUCCUGUUCUCACACAAGAUUAAGUAAGUAACAUAUUACUUUGCAAUUAGCCAAUUAAUAUCUGAUCACCUGGUUGGGGGAAAAAAUUAACUUUGGAAGGAGAUAAAAGAAAAUCAUGGUUUUAACUCUUAAGAUGGCACACAAUCAGCCUUUGUAUUUUCUUUUCUUUUGGAUCAGGAUAGGAGCAUUAUCUUAUUUUGCUGUUUGUUGUGUUAUCCAUAGAGUAGAAGGAUGAGUGUGUUGAAGAACAUGAAGCAAUCAUUAUUCUCCAAAAGCUUAGGUUGUCAAAAAAACGUUGUUUCUAGCUUAUAUAUUCGACACUCUCCUUAACAUCUGGAUUUGAGACAUUUUGAUAGGUCUGAGACGUGCGCAUAAAUUAAAUGAGAGGAAAUUGAUUAUGUUGGGAGUCUGCAACUCAGGUCCUCAUGCUCUGAUAUCGUAUAAAGGAAUGGAAAAUAAUCAUUAUUUUCUAGGGAAAACUUCAAAACCCCCCCUUGUGGUUUCAAUUUUUUUCACUUUAAUACCCUGUGGUUUAAAAUGUAUCAAGUUAGUACCCCGUGGUUUCUCACUUUAUCACUUAAGUACCCUGUGGUUUAAAGUGUAUCAAGUUAGUACCCUAUGGUUUUGCACUUUAUCACUUUAGUACCCUGUGGUUUUAAUUUUGUAUCAAGUUAGUACCCUAUAGUUUUUUAAAUCACAAGGUACUAAAGUGAUAAAGUGUGAAACCACAGGGUACUAAAGUGAUAAAGUGCAAAACCACAGGGUACUAGCUUGAUACAUUUUAAACCACAGGAUACUAAAGUGAUAAAGUGAAAAACCACAGGGUACUAACUUGAUACACUUCAAACCAUAGGGUACUAAAAUGAAAAAGUGUGAAACCACAGGGGGGGUUUUUGAAGUUUUCCCUAUUUUCUAAAAGCUUAAGCUGUCAGAUAGCGGUUUUUUCUUAGUUUAUAUAUUCGACGGAGAACGGUAGGAAAGUAAUUAAACUUGUUCUCAAAUUCUAUUUGAUUCGCGUCAUUUCUUAGCUUCCUCCUUUCUUAAUUAUUGUCCUUUUUCUUUUUGCUUCUGUUUCAUUCUAUGUAAAGAAUCAUCGAUUGUUGUUCGGAUUUGCGCUGCUGUAGGAAAGCAACUAGUAUUGCAUGAUUAGGAGAGACCACCCUUUAAAUUGAGCCAUAUCUCUGUUUAAGAUGUAAUGUUAUGGUGUAGGAUUAUUUCCACAUCUACACUCCUAAUAAGUUUUUUUUUUUUAAUAAAUCCUUGAGAUUAAUCUUGUGCAUUUCUAUACAUGCCAUUUAUAAACAGUUUCAUCUAUGGGUUUCCCCCUACUUUUUUUUUAUAAUCUCACUGAGUUAUCAUAUGUAAUAUGGGCUACAAUUUUUUCCUUUUCCAAUUUUCUCUGAACUUCUUCUAUGUGCCUGUGCAGGUUAUUUGCUGCUGUAGAUGAUAUAUUCUGUUUGUUCCAAGGGCACAUUACGAAUAUUGCUCCACUGAAGCAACAGUAUGGAUUGAACAAAACUGCAACUGAGGUUAAUAUAGUAAUUGAAGCUUAUAGAACAUUAAGGGACAGGGGACCUUAUCCUGCGGACCAUGUUGUGAGAGAUUUUAAUGGAAAAUUCGCCUUCGUUCUCUUUGAUGGCUCGACGAAGAAUGCCUUCAUUGCUGCUGUAAGUAACUCUUUGGAGUCAAAAAAAAAAACAAAACAAAACAAAAUUAACUAUGUAGUAAAGUGGUCGAAGGUCUUAUGAAUGUCAUGUUUUGCACACGCCGUGUGAUAAUUCUUGACACAAAAGCUGAAAAACUUUGAAGACGUAGAUAUGCCAACAGUAAUAUUUUGUCAAUAGUGAAUGGUACCGUUAGAUAUAUAUCUCAAAUCAUUCAUAGCUAUGUACUAAAUUAAUUGAAUGUUAAUGACAGAAAGAUCUAAAUCACUUGUAUAAAAUUUCUGAAAAGGUGGCAUCUUUUCUUGUUCUGUUUGUCUGCUGAUUAUCGCUGAUAGUUUGAGCUAGCUAACGCAUCUUCGGCAACUCGUUGCAGGAUGCUGAUGGCAGCGUGCCGCUCUUCUGGGGAACCGAUUCGGAAGGCCGUCUUGUACUCUCCAAUGACGAGGACGUCAUGAAAAAGAGCUGUGGAAAAUCCUUCGCUCAGUUCCCCAAAGGUAACGCUCAACAACAAAUCAGUCUUUAGCGUGCGCUCUUUAUGCUUUUCGCCCUCUUUUCGUCUUUAAAAUACUCAUAUCCUUUUUGUUUAUGAUUCAAUUAGGUUGCUUCUUCACGACCUCGGGGGGACUGCAGAGUUUCGAGCAUCCGUUAAGCGAGGUGAAGCCCGUGCCGAGGGUCGACAGCAAAGGAGAGGUAUGCGGUGCUACCUACAAGGUUGAUGCCGGGACCAAGAAGGACUCGAGCAUUCCCAGGGUCGGGAGUGCUGCGAAUUGGGCUUCGCAGUUCUGAUUUCUGAUAAGCAUCUUCUGACCGCACUACUAGUAUGGUUUGGGAUUUGAUCGGCGGGCAUCGAUGGCGUGAAUUUAACUUUCUCCUAAGAUGUUGUGCGCUUUUAAGUUCCUUAAAUAAAGUACCCGGCUUUGUGUUUAUCUGUUGGAUUUCCCCCAGAGGUAAAUAAAUGUUCUUUUAAUUAUGGCUUAAAGAGUUAGAUAAGGCGGGCAUCGGUGGUGUGGAUUCAACUUUAACUGUUAUCUGGUGUUUGUGUUUGGGUUGAAUUUAAGGUCUUUUUGUUAAACAAAGCACCCGGCUUUGUUUUACUGUAUCUGAUUUUCCUUAUUGUAAAAAUAUAUGUUCUUGGAUUGUUGUUAGAGACAUGGUGUGAAGUUAAUGCUAGAACUACUUUUGUUUAUG